rnacentral:rRNA from 1 species
GAUGAACGCUGACAGAAUGCUUAACACAUCAGCAAUUGAUUGGUGGCGGACGGGCGAGUAACGCGUAAAGAACUUACCUCACAGUUAGGGACAACAUUUGGAAACGAAUGCUAAUACCUAAUACUGUGAGAGAGCUUUGCGUCCCAUUAGCUAGUUGGAGAGGUAACAGCACACCAAGGCGAAGAUGGGUAGACGGCCUGAGAGGGUGAUCGGCGACAAGGGGACUGAGACACAGCCAAUACUGCUACGGGGGGCAAGAGUGGGGAGUAUAUGACAAAGGACCAGAGUCUGAUGCAGCACUACUGUGAGGACGAUGAAGUUAUCGAAAGGUAAAGUGCUGUCAGUUUGGAGGCGGUAACAACAGAGGAACCAAGGGCAACAUCCGUGCCAGCCGCCGCGGUAAUUC